rnacentral:tRNA from 1 species
GCCUCUUUAGUUAAAUGGCAUAACAGCUGAUUUGUAAUCAGCCUUCGGUGGUUCGAUUCCAUCAAGGGGCA